UACGUAGGGUGCGAGCGUUGUCCGAAAUUAUUGGGCGUAAAGAGCUCGUAGGCGGUCUGUCACGUCGGAUGUGAAAACUCGGGGCUCAACCCCGAGCCUGCAUUCGAUACGGGCAGACUAGAGUUCGGUAGGGGAGACUGGAAUUCCUGGUGUAGCGGUGAAAUGCGCAGAUAUCAGGAGGAACACCGGUGGCGAAGGCGGGUCUCUGGGCCGAUACUGACGCUGAGGAGCGAAAGCGUGGGGAGCGAACAGG
rnacentral:rRNA from 1 species